rnacentral:lncRNA from 1 species
UGAUGAUUGAGAUGACUGACUUCACACUGGUGAUAUGUUUUUUAUUCCCAUCGUAGAAUGCUCGGAAGGAACUCCGGAAUCUGUCAUAGUUGUAGAGCUAAGAAUCAUUUGUUUGUCGAAUGCAAAAAGAAACGCCCUUGCCCGCGAUGUAAGUAUGGAUUUGAAAAAUGUUUUGUGAUGGAGAAGGAAAAUCACAAUAAGGGGAAACUAUUCCUUUGCUGCAGCCGGAAUUGUGGAUUUUGGGAAUGGGUCGUGAAAGAAAACUCAAGCGGUUAAUGUAGUCGUGAUAGCGCAACAUUCCCUAACCCGUGAUGAAUGACACUGAUGAAGAAAUGUCCCGCAUGUUCAAAUCUCGGGUAAGGAUAAGUGAUGAAGAGGAGCUUCAGAUUUUGGUUAACGUGAGCAUCAAGAAGGAGAAAAUUGUUGCAAAUGUGGACGCUAAAGGGAAGCGGGCAACUUGACUUGAAGAUACUUAUCGAAGUGGCUAGCCUAAUUUUCUCAAUUAAAACUGAAUCAGCUUGUCAUUAUUUGUGGAGGUUGAAAGUCUUGUAUGUGAUUAAUUAAGUAAAGUAGUUGAGGUAUGUGGUGCGAGGUUGUAUAUCAUAAUAGCUUGGUAUCAAAACAAGCAUUUUUUGUAGGCAAACAUUUGUACUCUCGCGACUUACUUACAGUUUAU